GACGAACGCUGGCGGCGUGCCUAAUACAUGCAAGUCGAACGCUUUUUCUUUCACCGGAGCUUGCUCCACCGAAAGAAAAAGAGUGGCGAACGGGUGAGUAACACGUGGGUAACCUGCCCAUCAGAAGGGGAUAACACUUGGAAACAGGUGCUAAUACCGUACAACACUAUUUCCCGCAUGGAAGAAAGUUGACAGGCGCUUUUGCGUCACUGAUGGAUGGACCCGGUGUGCAUUAGCUAGUUGGUGAGGUAACGGCUCACCAAGGCAACGAUGCAUAGCCGACCUGAGAGGGUGAUCGGCCACACUGGGACUGAGACACGGCCCAGACUCCUACGGGAGGCAGCAGUAGGGAAUCUUCGGCAAUGGACGAAAGUCUGACCGAGCAACGCCGCGUGAGUGAAGAAGGUUUUCGGAUCGUAAAACUCUGUUGUUAGAGAAGAACAAGGAUGAGAGUAGAACGUUCAUCCCUUGACGGUAUCUAACCAGAAAGCCACGGCUAACUACGUGCCAGCAGCCGCCGUAAAAC
rnacentral:rRNA from 1 species